UACGUAGGUGGCGAGCGUUGUCCGGAUUUACUGGGCGUAAAGGGAGCGUAGGCGGACUUUUAAGUGAGAUGUGAAAUACCCGGGCUCAACUUGGGUGCUGCAUUUCAAACUGGAAGUCUAGAGUGCAGGAGAGGAGAAUGGAAUUCCUAGUGUAGCGGUGAAAUGCGUAGAGAUUAGGAAGAACACCAGUGGCGAAGGCGAUUCUCUGGACUGUAACUGACGCUGAGGUUCGAAAGCGUGGGGAGCAAACAGGAUUAGAUACCCUGGUA
rnacentral:rRNA from 1 species